rnacentral:misc_RNA from 1 species
UUCGUUUUUUAAUUAAAAACUAGAAUGAAAGGUUAUACAUUCAAAUUUCUUUAUUAAUUUCUAAUUAAUAAUUUAUAUUAAAUAUAAAAAUAUACUUAUAAAAAAAAAAGACGACAAGACCCUAUUAAAUUUUACUUAUAGUUUAACUGGGGAAGUUUUUUAAUUAAAAUUUUUUAAAUUUAAUAAAUAAAAAUCUAAUAAAAUUAAAACUUUAACAAAUUACUAUAGGGAUAACAGCAUUAUAUUUUUUAAAAGUUCAUAUUAAAAAAAAUGAUUAUGACCUCGAUGUUGAAUUAUAUUUUCUAUAUUUAAUGCAAUAAUUAUAAAAGUAGAUCUGUUCGAUCUUUAAAAUAUUACAUGAUUUGAGUUCAAACCGGUGUAAACCAGGUUGGUUUCUAUCUUUUUAUAUAUUUUUCCAGUACGAAAGGACAAACAAAUUUUUAUUUUAAUAAAUUAGCAAAUAAAUGCAUUAGAUUUAGAAUCUAAAUAUAUUUAAUAAUU